AGGGAAUCUUCCACAAUGGACGCAAGUCUGAUGGAGCAACGCCGCGUGAGUGAAGAAGGUUUUCGGACCGUAAAGCUCUGUUGUUGGUGAAGAAGGAUAGAGGUAGUAACUGGCCUUUAUUUGACGGUAAUCAACCAGAAAGUCACGGCUAACUACGUGCCAGCAGCCGCGGUAAUCGUAGGUGGCAAGCGUUGUCCGGAUUUAUUGGGCGUAAAGCGAGCGCAGGCGGAAGAAUAAGUCUGAUGUGAAAGCCCUCGGCUUAACCGAGGAAUUGCAUCGGAAACUGUUUUCUUGAGUGCAGAAGAGGAGAGUAGAAACUCCAUGUGUAGCGGUGGAAUGCGUAGAUAUAUGGAAGAAUACCAGUGGCGAAGGCGGCUCUCUGGUCUGCAACUGACGCUGAGGCUCGAAAGCAUGGGUAGCGAACAGGAUUAGAUACCCUGGUAGUCCAUGCCGUAAACGAUGAGUGCUAAGUGUUGGGAGGCUUCCGCCUCUCAGUGCUGCAGCUAACGCAUUAAGCACUCCGCCUGGGGGAGUACGACCGCAAGGUUGAAAC
rnacentral:rRNA from 1 species